AGAGGAAAUUAGGCCCAGCACCACAAAAGGCCUAAAUAUUCUCAACAGCACCGUCCAGUUCUUCUUUCUCUAUGUUGGAAGGAAUCGGAUGCAGCGGCAGUGGAUUUGUUGUUGGCGACGUUUCAGAUAAGAAAUGAGUACGAGUUUAGUCGAUCGAUAGGUUUUUACAGAGCUGCUGAUAUAAGAUGAUUCUGAAGCUCAUUUGGAAGGUGUUGCCAUGAUUGGCCUCGUUGGUGUCUUGCGGCAGCUCGACAACUUCUUAGAAUUGCUCAUUCUAUAAUUCUCUCGUUCAAUUUACCAAUCAAAAAAUCCUACACAAAGACAUGGCUCUUCACGCUCUGGUUAUAAAAAGUUCUUCUUCUUCUUCUUGCAUUUGUCCUGCUAAUUGUGUUGUUAAUUUUUAUGUCAAGUGUGGUUGUUUAAUUAAAGCCAAGUUCGUCUUUGAUCGAAUAUGUAACAACAGUAUGAUGUUGGAGGCUCGUAAAGUGUUUGACAAAAUGUCUUAGAGGAAUGAGGUUACAUUGGCUAGUAUGAUUUUCUUGAUAUGCAUAUAACGGCGUGCUUUAGAGGCUUGCGAGAUUUUUGAAAUAAUGUUUGGAAAAGUUAAGGAUUUGAAUGAGUUUGCUUUUACUAGUGUCAGCCUUUGCAAAACUAAAUGGCCACUAUCUUACGAAAUUGUUUCUUUAUUUUA